rnacentral:miRNA from 1 species
AUUUAGUCUUCAUCACAGCUU